rnacentral:rRNA from 1 species
ACUACCGAUGAACGGUUUAGUGAGGAGGUCGGACCGGCGGCGUCGGCCCUGCCGUGGGUGUGCCCCGUUGGGUCGCCUGCUGGGGCCGGCCCCCGCCGGAAAGUCCUUCGAACCUGAUCGUUUAGAGGAAGUAAAAGUCGUAACAAGGUUUCCGUAGGUGAACCUGCGGAAGGAUCAUUACCGACCCCAGUGGCAAGAGGGAAGGCACUCGUCGGGUUCGCCCGACGAUCCGUCCGUGCGUCGUCGUAACGUUCUAUGGGACCGUCGGGGUCGGCCCCGCCUGGCCGUCGAAUGCGCCUGCAGCCCCGACCCGGUCCCCCUCGGCAUCGUCCGCACCGUCCCGACUGAACGCGCGCGGACCGGGGGGCCCCUUCCCCCCGGCACGCGGACCAUCCCAUAUAGAGAGAGACAACUCGCGACGGUGGAUCUCUUGGCUCACGCAUCGAUGAAGAACGCGGCCAACUGCGAUACAGUACGAUGACAUGCUGCACGGAGUGAAUCAUCGAGUCUUUGAACGCAAAUGGCGCUCGCGACGCUCUCGCGAGCAUGUCUGUCUGAGUGUCGGUCUUUCACGAUCCGUCCUCCUGGACGAGGAGCUGGAGCGUCGCGGCCUGCCCUCCGUCCUGCGGGCGUGGCCGCGUCCUCCCAAGGGCAUCGUCCCCGGGUCCGCGCCGCGGAGCCACGACUCGACCCGUUCGGUCCGACUCCGCCGGCCGCACGCGGGGACCCCGGCCGCUCUCCACCUUUAAAGUCCGCGACGCGACCUCAGAUCAGGCAAGGUCACCCGCCGAAUUUAAGCAUAUUAAUAAGCGGAGGAAAAGAAACUAACCAGGAUUCCCUCAGUAAGGGCGACUGAAGCGGGAAGAGCUCAAAGUGUCAAUCUCCGACCCCGCCCCGGGGUCGGCGACGUGUAGUUGCGAGAGGCGCCUUCCGGGCCGAGGGGCCGCGUCCAAGUCGCUUGGAAGGGCGCGUCGCAGAGGGUGACAACCCCGUCGGCGGCGCGGCCCGCGGCCGGCGAUGCGCUUUCCAA